AUCAAAUUAGCAAAGAAAUAUAUGCGAUUGACUUAGGAUCAAUAGACAUAGGUGAAAAUCCUUUAUUUGAUA
rnacentral:tRNA from 1 species